GUAUGAAGUAAUACACUGUCCACGACGGGAACAUCUGGGCGCUUGGCCGUCAGCAUGUGGUGCAAGUUGUCUUCAGUUUGUCUUGCAGCAGCCUGUACACAGGUUCCCUUUCUUCUCCAGUCUCCUUCAAGCAGUUUUGGAGAAUUUUGCUCCCCUUGGGAUGUUUCCACCACCGUGCUCCUAUUGGUGCUGCCGGAACGGCCCCAGCUCCCGGCGGUCCAGCUGUGGACGGGUGACACCCUCAGCCAUCUACCCCAGGAUGGGACAUGGCAGUCCCUGGGGGGACAGCCAGGACAGGGGACCCUCGCAAGGAUGCUGCCUUAGGCUGCCAAGCCCCGAAGGUGCCAGUUCUGCAUGGAGGGGACGAGCCCUCACCUUGGAGUCCAUCUGUGU